rnacentral:rRNA from 1 species
UACGAAGGGAGCUAGCGUUGUUCGGAAUCACUGGGCGUAAAGCGCACGUAGGCGGAUGUGUCAGUCAGGGGUGAAAUCCCGGAGCUCAACUUCGGAACUGCCUUUGAUACAGCACGUCUUGAGUCCGGAAGAGGUGGGUGGAAUUCCUAGUGUAGAGGUGAAAUUCGUAGAUAUUAGGAAGAACACCGGUGGCGAAGGCGGCCCACUGGUCCGGUACUGACGCUGAGGUGCGAAAGCGUGGGGAGCAAACAGGA